UGGGGCGUAGCCAAGUGGUCCAAGGCACCGGUUUUUGAUACCGGCAUUCGCAGGUUCGAAUCCUGCCGCCCCAGCCA
rnacentral:tRNA from 1 species